rnacentral:rRNA from 1 species
GACGAACGCUGGCGGCGUGCUUAACACAUGCAAGUCGAACGGAAAGGCCUCGGCUUGCUGGGGUACUCGAGUGGCGAACGGGUGAGUAACACGUGGGUGAUCUGCCUUGCACUCUGGGAUAAGCUUGGGAAACUGGGUCUAAUACCGGAUAUGAACUGCCUUUAGUGUGGUGGUUGGAAAGUUUUUUCGGUGCAAGAUGAGCUCGCGGCCUAUCAGCUUGUUGGUGGGGUAAUGGCCUACCAAGGCGUCGACGGGUAGCCGGCCUGAGAGGGUGUACGGCCACAUUGGGACUGAGAUACGGCCCAGACUCCUACGGGAGGCAGCAGUGGGGAAUAUUGCACAAUGGGCGGAAGCCUGAUGCAGCGACGCCGCGUGGGGGAUGACGGCCUUCGGGUUGUAAACUCCUUUCGACAGGGACGAAGCUUUUUGUGACGGUACCUGUAUAAGAAGCGCCGGCUAACUACGUG